rnacentral:rRNA from 1 species
CCAAUAGCGUAUAUUAAAGUUGUUGCAGUUAAAAAGCUCGUAGUUGAAUUUCGGGACCAAUUUGUCGGUCGUGCCUCGGUACGUACUGGUAUUAUUGGUUUCUCCCUUCUGAAGAACCUUGAUGUCAUUAAUUUGGUGUCUUGGGGAAUCAGGACUGUUACUUUGAAAAAAUUAGAGUGUUUAAAGCAGGCAUACGCUUGAAUACAUUAGCAUGGAAUAAUGAAAUAGGACGUUUGAUUCUAUUUUGUUGGUUCCUAGGAUCGACGUAAUGAUUAAUAGGGAAAGUUGGGGGCAUUAGUAUUCAAUUGUCAGAGGUGAAAUUCUUGGAUUUAUUGAAGACUAACUACUGCGAAAGCAUAUGCCAAGGAUGUUUUCAUUAAUCAAGAACGAAAGUUAGGGGAUCGAAGACGAUCAGAUACCGUCGUAGUCUUAACCAUAAACUAUGCCGACUAGGAAUCAGACGAUGUUAAUUUUUUAAUGACUCGUUUGGCACCUUACG